GGUUAAGUUAGAAAGGGCGCACGGUGGAUGCCUUGACACUAGGAGUCGAUGAAGGACGGGACUAACGCCGAUAUGCUUCGGGGAGCUGUAAGUAAGCUUUGAUCCGAAGAUUUCCGAAUGGGGAAACCCACCAUACGUAAUGGUAUGGUAUCCUUAUCUGAAUACAUAGGGUAAGGAAGACAGACCCAGGGAACUGAAACAUCUAAGUACCUGGAGGAAGAGAAAGCAAAUGCGAUUUCCUGAGUAGCGGCGAGCGAAACGGAACAUAGCCCAAACCAAGAGGCUUGCCUCUUGGGGUUGUAGGACAUUCUAUACGGAGUUACAAAGGAACGAGGUAGACGAAGCGACCUGGAAAGGUCCGUCGUAGAGGGUAACAACCCCGUAGUCGAAACUUCGUUCUCUCUUGAAUGUAUCCUGAGUACGGCGGAACACGUGAAAUUCCGUCGGAAUCUGGGAGGACCAUCUCCCAAGGCUAAAUACUCCCUAGUGAUCGAUAGUGAACCAGUACCGUGAGGGAAAGGUGAAAAGCACCCCGGAAGGGGAGUGAAAGAGAUCCUGAAACCGUGUGCCUACAAAUAGUCAGAGCCCGUUAACGGGUGAUGGCGUGCCUUUUGUAGAAUGAACCGGCGAGUUACGAUCCCGUGCGAGGUUAAGCUGAAGAGGCGGAGCCGCAGCGAAAGCGAGUCUGAAUAGGGCGUUUAGUACGUGGUCGUAGACCCGAAACCAGGUGAUCUACCCAUGUCCAGGGUGAAGUUCAGGUAACACUGAAUGGAGGCCCGAACCCACGCACGUUGAAAAGUGCGGGGAUGAGGUGUGGGUAGCGGAGAAAUUCCAAUCGAACCUGGAGAUAGCUGGUUCUCCCCGAAAUAGCUUUAGGGCUAGCCUUAAGUGUAAGAGUCUUGGAGGUAGAGCACUGAUUGGACUAGGGGUCCUCAUCGGAUUACCGAAUUCAGUCAAACUCCGAAUGCCAAUGACUUAUCCUUAGGAGUCAGACUGCGAGUGAUAAGAUCCGUAGUCAAAAGGGAAACAGCCCAGACCGCCAGCUAAGGUCCCAAAGUGUGUAUUAAGUGGAAAAGGAUGUGGAGUUGCUUAGACAACUAGGAUGUUGGCUUAGAAGCAGCCACCAUUUAAAGAGUGCGUAAUAGCUCACUAGUCGAGUGACUCUGCGCCGAAAAUGUACCGGGGCUAAAUACACCACCGAAGCUGCGGAUUGAUACCAAUGGUAUCAGUGGUAGGGGAGCGUUCUAAGGACAGUGAAGUCAGACCGGAAGGACUGGUGGAGUGCUUAGAAGUGAGAAUGCCGGUAUGAGUAGCGAAAGACGGGUGAGAAUCCCGUCCACCGAAUGCCUAAGGUUUCCUGAGGAAGGCUCGUCCGCUCAGGGUUAGUCAGGACCUAAGCCGAGGCCGACAGGCGUAGGCGAUGGACAACAGGUUGAUAUUCCUGUACCACCUCUUUAUCGUUUGAGCAAUGGAGGGACGCAGAAGGAUAGAAGAAGCGUGCGAUUGGUUGUGCACGUCCAAGCAGUUAGGCUGAUAAGUAGGCAAAUCCGCUUAUCGUAAAGGCUGAGCUGUGAUGGGGAAGCUCCUUAUGGAGCGAAGUCUUUGAUUCCCCGCUGCCAAGAAAAGCUUCUAGCGAGAUAAAAGGUGCCUGUACCGCAAACCGACACAGGUAGGCGAGGAGAGAAUCCUAAGGUGUGCGAGAGAACUCUGGUUAAGGAACUCGGCAAAAUGACCCCGUAACUUCGGGAGAAGGGGUGCUUUCUUAACGGAAAGCCGCAGUGAAUAGGCCCAAGCGACUGUUUAGCAAAAACACAGCUCUCUGCGAAGCCGUAAGGCGAAGUAUAGGGGGUGACACCUGCCCGGUGCUGGAAGGUUAAGGAGAGGGGUUAGCGUAAGCGAAGCUCUGAACUGAAGCCCCAGUAAACGGCGGCCGUAACUAUAACGGUCCUAAGGUAGCGAAAUUCCUUGUCGGGUAAGUUCCGACCCGCACGAAAGGUGUAACGAUUUGGGCACUGUCUCAACCAGAGACUCGGUGAAAUUAUAGUACCUGUGAAGAUGCAGGUUACCCGCGACAGGACGGAAAGACCCCGUGGAGCUUUACUGUAGCCUGAUAUUGAAUUUUGGUACAGUUUGUACAGGAUAGGCGGGAGCCAUUGAAACCGGAGCGCUAGCUUCGGUGGAGGCGCUGGUGGGAUACCGCCCUGACUGUAUUGAAAUUCUAACCUACGGGUCUUAUCGACCCGGGAGACAGUGUCAGGUGGGCAGUUUGACUGGGGCGGUCGCCUCCUAAAGUGUAACGGAGGCGCCCAAAGGUUCCCUCAGAAUGGUUGGAAAUCAUUCGUAGAGUGCAAAGGCAUAAGGGAGCUUGACUGCGAGACCUACAAGUCGAGCAGGGACGAAAGUCGGGCUUAGUGAUCCGGUGGUUCCGCAUGGAAGGGCCAUCGCUCAACGGAUAAAAGCUACCCCGGGGAUAACAGGCUUAUCUCCCCAAGAGUCCACAUCGACGGGGAGGUUUGGCACCUCGAUGUCGGCUCAUCGCAUCCUGGGGCUGUAGUCGGUCCCAAGGGUUGGGCUGUUCGCCCAUUAAAGCGGUACGCGAGCUGGGUUCAGAACGUCGUGAGACAGUUCGGUCCCUAUCCGUCGUGGGCGUAGGAAAUUUGAGAGGAGCUGUCCUUAGUACGAGAGGACCGGGAUGGACGCACCGCUGGUGUACCAGUUGUUCUGCCAAGGGCAUAGCUGGGUAGCUAUGUGCGGAAGGGAUAAGUGCUGAAAGCAUCUAAGCAUGAAGCCCCCCUCAAGAUGAGAUUUCCCAUAGCGUAAGCUAGUAAGAUCCCUGAAAGAUGAUCAGGUUGAUAGGUUCGAGGUGGAAGCAUGGUGACAUGUGGAGCUGACGAAUACUAAUAGAUCGAGGACUUAACCAU
rnacentral:rRNA from 1 species